AAACUUUCAACAACGGAUCUCUUGGUUCUGGCAUCGAUGAAGAACGUAGCGAAAUGCGAUAAGUAAUGUGAAUUGCAGAAUUCAGUGAAUCAUCGAAUCUUUGAACGCACAUUGCGCCCGCCAGUAUUCUGGCGGGCAUGCCUGUCCGAGCGUCAUUU
rnacentral:rRNA from 5 species